rnacentral:rRNA from 1 species
AUUGAACGCUGGCGGCAGGCUUAACACAUGCAAGUCGAACGAGUGGCGGACGGGUGAGUAAUGCUUGGGAAACUAGCUUAUGGAGGGGGAUAACUACGGUAAACUGUAGCUAAUAACGCGUACCAUAGGAUGAGCCCAAGUGGGAGUAGGUAGUUGGUGAGGUAAAGGUGCACCAAGACUACGAUCUCUAGCUGGUCUGAGAGGAUGAAACGUCACACUGUGACUGAGACACGGACAAUAAUCCUACGGGAGGCAGCAGUGGGGAAUAUUGCGCAAUGGGGGCAACCUGACGCAGCCAUGCCGCGUGAAUGAAGAAGGCCUUCGGGUUGUAAAGUUCUUUCGGUAGCGAGGCGUUAACUACAGAAGAAGCACCGGCUAACUCCGUGCCAGCAGCCGCGGUAAUUC